GUCCUUGCAUCGCCUAGACAUAUACUAGGACUGGAACCAUACAGAGAAGAUAAGCAUGGCCUCAGAACAAUGAUAAUACGCAAGUGUCUUAAGGCAUCUUCUGAACGU